GACAGAGGUCCCGAGCGUUAGGCGGAAUCACUGGGCUUAAAGCGUGUGUAGGCGGAUUUGUAAGUACCUUGUGAAAUCCCACGGCUCAACCGUGGAACUGCUUGGUAUACUGCUUAUCUUGGGCCACUUAGGGGUUACCGGAACAAACGGUGGAGCGGUGAAAUGCGUAGAUAUCAGGAGGAACACCGGUGGCGAAGGCGGGUCUCUGGGCCGAUACUGACGCUGAGGAGCGAAAGCGUGGGGAGCAAACAGG
rnacentral:rRNA from 1 species